GGAAACUAAAAAGAUAUGGGUCCUGAGAUCCUCGAAAGGUUCUACAGCUGCAACACCAAGAGCAUCCUGAACGGUUGCAUCACUGCUUGGUACGGUAAUUGCUCGGCUUCCGACCGCAAGACACUUCAGAGGGUAGUGCGACGGCCCAGUACAUCACUGGGGCAAAGCUGCCUGCCAUCCAGGACCUCUACACCAGGCGGUGCCAGAGGAAGGCCACCCCAGACAUAGACUGUUCUCUCUACUACCGCAUGGCAAGCGGUACCAGAGUGCCAAGUCUAGGACAAAAAGGCUUCUCAACUGUUUUUACCCCCAAGCCAUAAGACUCCUGAACAGCUUUUCAGGCUCCUGGUGGUUCCUGACUUGCAUCGGUACCGUUUGCUGUGCGGUAGCAGAGAGAUCAGUCUGUGGCUUGGGUGGCUGAAGAUUUUGACCAUUUCUUGGGCCUUCCUCUGACACCGCCUGGUAUAGUUUUAAUCACUUAAUAAUUCAUAAACAACCUUGAUCUCAGUAAAAACACUGUAACUAAUUGGUAGGUCUACCUUUACUUGUUACUUCUGUGACCUUUCAUUAUCCUCCCUCCUCAUGAGUGAGAGAAAUGAGAGGUUUUUGGUAAGGGAAUUACAAGGCAGAAGGAAUGUAAUCUAAACAACAAAAUAUAAGUGUUGAUAUUAGUUGGCAGAGGUCUUUACAUGAUUGUUGUUUUGAUGUAUUUCUAAUACCUU
ensembl:lncRNA